GACGAACGCUGGCGGCGUGCUUAACACAUGCAAGUCACGGGGGCCCAGCAAUGGGUAACCGGCGAACGGGUGCGUAACACGUGAGCAACCUGCCGAUCUGAGGGGGAUAGCCGGCCCAACGGCCGGGUAAUACCGCAUACGGUUUCUAUGGGACAUCCUGUGGGAACGAAACCUCCGGGGCAGAUCGAGGGGCUCGCGGCCUAUCAGCUAGUUGGUGGGGUAACGGCCCACCAAGGCGACGACGGGUAGCNGGUCUGAGAGGAUGGCCAGCCACAUUGGGACUGAGAGACGGCCCAGACUCCUACGGGAGGCAGCAGUGGGGAAUCUUGCCCAAUGGGGAAACCCUGAGGCAGCAACGCCGCGUGUGGGAUGACGGCCUGG
rnacentral:rRNA from 1 species